AGUUACCAGCACGUUAUGGUGGGCACUCUAAGGAGACUGCCGGUGGACAAACCGGAGGAAGGUGGGGAUGACGUCAAGUCAUCAUGGCCCUUACGGCCUGGGCUACACACGUGCUACAAUGGUCGGUACAAAGGGUUGCCAAGCCGCGAGGUGGAGCUAAUCCCAUAAAACCGAUCGUAGUCCGGAUCGCAGUCUGCAACUCGACCUGCGUGAAGUCGGAAUCGCUAGUAAUCGUGAAUCAGAAUGUCACGGUGAAUACGUUCCCGGGCCCUU
rnacentral:rRNA from 1 species